CUACCAAUCAGACUGCAGCGUUAAAUCGGAAUAAACUACUUUUCCAAUGCCCACUAAUUUACAGGCCAUUUACACAAAAAAAUAAAAAAUAAUAAACCAAACACGCCAGACAACAAUCAACAAACACACUACACUAAUGCUCGUGCUUCACUCGCCCUUUCAGUAUUCCUGGAAUAGGGGGUGAGCUUGGCAAUCUAGCUGUACCAUUAGUUGAUCUUGCAGGUUGCUGCACUUGCUGCCUAUAAAUAUUUGGCAUGCUUGAGCUCUCACCUCCAUUUGAAAUUAGAUCAUGAAUACCGUCGAUUUGUUCUUCUCCACAAGAACUCAUUGCUUUCAGUACAAAUGAGUCAUCAUGCAACUCAAAUGGUGUGCUGCAUCAAAAUGUACAAGUUGCAUAUCUUCUGAUAUUUCAACUUCCACAGUUGCAUGAGGCCGUGUCUGCAUGAUUCAUUCUUGAUAAAUGGUAAUGCAACUCCACCCGAGGGAAUGUUUCCUGAACCAUAUAGCUGUUCAUUUCUUUGUAUCAACUUUUGCAUACCUACAAACUUAACAUG
rnacentral:sRNA from 1 species